rnacentral:rRNA from 1 species
UACGAAGGGAGCUAGCGUUGUUCGGAAUCACUGGGCGUAAAGGGCUCGUAGGCGGCCAACUAAGUCGGACGUGAAAUCCCCAGGCUCAACCUGGGAACUGCGUCUGAUACUGGAUGGCUUGAAUCCGGGAGAGGGAUGCAGAAUUCCAGGUGUAGCGGUGAAAUGCGUAGAUAUCGGGAGGAACACCAGUGGCGAAGGCGACUACCUGGCCUGUUUCUUGACGCUGAGGCGCGAAAGCUAGGGGAGCAAACGGG